GAUGAACGCUGGCGGCGUGCCUAAUACAUGCAAGUCGAGUGAACGGACGAGAAGCUUGCUUCUCUGAUGUUAGCGGCGGACGGGUGAGUAACACGUGGAUAACCUACCUAUAAGACUGGGAUAACUUCGGGAAACCGGAGCUAAUACCGGAUAAUAUUUUGAACCGCAUGGUUCAAAAGUGAAAGACGGUCUUGCUGUCACUUAUAGAUGGAUCCGCGCUGCAUUAGCUAGUUGGUAAGGUAACGGCUUACCAAGGCAACGAUGCAUAGCCGACCUGAGAGGGUGAUCGGCCACACUGGAACUGAGACACGGUCCAGACUCCUACGGGAGGCAGCAGUAGGGAAUCUUCCGCAAUGGGCGAAAGCCUGACGGAGCAACGCCGCGUGAGUGAUGAAGGUCUUCGGAUCGUAAAACUCUGUUAUUAGGGAAGAACAUAUGUGUAAGUAACUGUGCACAUCUUGACGGUACCUAAUCAGAAAGCCACGGCUAACUACGUGCCAGCAGCCGCGGUAAUACGUAGGUGGCAAGCGUUAUCCGGAAUUAUUGGGCGUAAAGCGCGCGUAGGCGGUUUUUUAAGUCUGAUGUGAAAGCCCACGGCUCAACCGUGGAGGGUCAUUGGAAACUGGAAAACUUGAGUGCAGAAGAGGAAAGUGGAAUUCCAUGUGUAGCGGUGAAAUGCGCAGAGAUAUGGAGGAACACCAGUGGCGAAGGCGACUUUCUGGUCUGUAACUGACGCUGAUGUGCGAAAGCGUGGGGAUCAAACAGGAUUAGAUACCCUGGUAGUCCACGCCGUAAACGAUGAGUGCUAAGUGUUAGGGGGUUUCCGCCCCUUAGUGCUGCAGCUAACGCAUUAAGCACUCCGCCUGGGGAGUACGACCGCAAGGUUGAAACUCAAAGGAAUUGACGGGGACCCGCACAAGCGGUGGAGCAUGUGGUUUAAUUCGAAGCAACGCGAAGAACCUUACCAAAUCUUGACAUCCUUUGACAACUCUAGAGAUAGAGCCUUCCUCUUCGGGGGACAAAGUGACAGGUGGUGCAUGGUUGUCGUCAGCUCGUGUCGUGAGAUGUUGGGUUAAGUCCCGCAACGAGCGCAACCCUUAAGCUUAGUUGCCAUCAUUAAGUUGGGCACUCUAAGUUGACUGCCGGUGACAAACCGGAGGAAGGUGGGGAUGACGUCAAAUCAUCAUGCCCCUUAUGAUUUGGGCUACACACGUGCUACAAUGGACAAUACAAAGGGUAGCGAAACCGCGAGGUCAAGCAAAUCCCAUAAAGUUGUUCUCAGUUCGGAUUGUAGUCUGCAACUCGACUACAUGAAGCUGGAAUCGCUAGUAAUCGUAGAUCAGCAUGCUACGGUGAAUACGUUCCCGGGUCUUGUACACACCGCCCGUCACACCACGAGAGUUUGUAACACCCGAAGCCGGUGGAGUAACCUUUUAGGAGCUAGCCGUCGAAGGUGGGACAAAUGAUUGGGGUGAAGUCGUAACAAGGUAGCCGUAUCGGAAGG
rnacentral:rRNA from 1 species